UUAUGUUUAUUAAAUGAAGCCCAAAAUAUGUCGCCGACUACAAAUCGCUAGUAUCAGCUAGCGCUAGCUAACGUCAGCGUUUCAUGCUGGGAAUGUAAUGUAUAGAAACUCAUAAUGUAAUGAUGUAAUAAAAUGUGGAGUUCAAAAUUAAAUUGGGAUGAAUUGGGAUUUUUGGGGGAAACUAUUCUAUUUUAAAGAUUGUCUGACAGGGCCACUACCCCCACUCCGCCAAGAGUGACAUUGCCCUCCCUGCCAAAAGUGGUCCUCAGGCCCUGGGUGAAGUCCUCCAGCUGCUUGGGGGUCAGGGAGGACUGCACUGCUGUGUAGUGGUUCCUCAGGUGAAGUGAAGAGUUGAUGGACAGCAUGUUGAAGAAAAGAGGACUGGGGUUGUAGUUUGGCAAAGGGCAGAUGUCUUGAGCAAUAGAGGCCAGGUGGGCUGCGUCCUCAGGAGGGCAAUGCAUGUUCCCCAUCUUGAUAUUAACUUGUCAGUUGAAGGAGAUUUGAUAAGAACAGUUCCUGCUAAAAAAAA